GAUGAACGCUGGCGGCAUGCCUAAUACAUUCAAGUCGAGCGAACAGACGAGGAGCUUGCUCCUCUGACGUUAGCGGCGGACGGGUGAGUAACACGUGGAUAACCUACCUAUAAGACUGGGAUAACUUCGGGAAACCGGAGCUAAUACCGGAUAAUAUAUUGAACCGCAUGGUUCAAUAGUGAAAGACGGUUUUGCUGUCACUUAUAGAUGGAUCCGCGCCGCAUUAGCUAGUUGGUAAGGUAACGGCUUACCAAGGCAACGAUGCGUAGCCGACCUGAGAGGGUGAUCGGCCACACUGGAACUGAGACACGGUCCAGACUCCUACGGGAGGCAGCAGUAGGGAAUCUUCCGCAAUGGGCGAAAGCCUGACGGAGCAACGCCGCGUGAGUGAUGAAGGUCUUCGGAUCGUAAAACUCUGUUAUUAGGGAAGAACAAAUGUGUAAGUAACUAUGCACGUCUUGACGGUACCUAAUCAGAAAGCCACGGCUAACUACGUG
rnacentral:rRNA from 1 species